UACGAAGGGGGGCUAGCGUUGCUCGGAAUUACUGGGCGUAAAGGGCGCGUAGGCGGCACUGUUAGUCAGGCGUGAAAUUCCUGGGCUCAACCUGGGGGCCGCGUUUGAUACGUGCGGACUUGAGUGCGGAAGAGGGUCGUGGAAUUCCCAGUGUAGAGGUGAAAUUCGUAGAUAUUGGGAAGAACACCGGUGGCGAAGGCGGCGACCUGGUCCGAUACUGACGCUGAGGCGCGAAAGCGUGGGGAGCAAACAGG
rnacentral:rRNA from 1 species